rnacentral:rRNA from 1 species
CCUACGGGUGGCAGCAGUCGAGAAUCAUUCACAAUGGGGGAAACCCUGAUGGUGCGACGCCGCGUGGGGGAAUGAAGGUCUUCGGAUUGUAAACUCCUGUCAUGUGGGAGCAAAUUAAAAAGAUAGUACCACAAGAGGAAGAGCCGGCUAACUCUGUGCCAGCAGCCGCGGUAAUACAGAGGUCUCAAGCGUUGUUCGGAAUCACUGGGCGUAAGGCGUGCGUAGGCUGUUUCGUAAGGCGGGUGUGAAAGGCGCGGGCUCAACCCGCGGACGGCACAUGAUACUGCGAGACUAGAGUAAUGGAGGGGGAACCGGAAUUCUCGGUGUAGCAGUGAAAUGCGUAGAUAUCGAGAGGAACACUCGUGGCGAAGGCGGGUUCCUGGACAUUAACUGACGCUGAGGCACGAAGGCCAGGGGAGCGAAAGGGAUUAGAUACCCCAGUAGUC